ensembl:lncRNA
GUUAGUGGAAGGAGACAGGCAAGGGGACAAGGAUACGGGCAAGGAAAAGAAGGCAAAGAAGAAUGUAACUACAAAACAAAUAGGAAACUGAAAGGAGACCACAGAAAAACCAUUUGAAAAGAGAAAAAAAUACAGAGAUACUUUUACAACGAACAACAAUAAGCGAAAGCCAGCCGAAGAAAGGGAAAGCAAAAGCCAGCCGAAAGCACAGCAGGAACGCACAGAGAACAGCACUGAGUUACACUGUCAGAAAGAGAAAUGGAAGCAAAAGAUCAACAAAGGACAUCCAAAUUAAAAACCAACUGAAAAAGAGGAAACACGAAAGCAACGGGAAGAAGAGAGAAGAAGCAGAGUCGGAUAUCAAGCAAUGCAAAGAAAGCCAGAAAGCAACGCAAAGCAAUGUGAAGCAGAGGUGAAAAGGAGGAACAAAAGAGCAGAGCAAAGCAAAGCAAGGGCAAAUAAAGAAAGCCUCAAUUGUGGCAGCUCGACCCACCUGGUGCUUCACUUGUUGCUCUUCAUCGGCCCGACUGCUGGGCACACGACAUCUGCACGGCACACCAUUACAGCCACCUUCCUUAUGGUUCAGCACACAGCUCAGCAGCCCAAAGAGGUUCACCCCUCCGCUGCCAGUUGUUUUCUUCCCACUGCUGGAACCACCCCCAGAAGGCAUUUGCCACCAUCCGUGAGUCAGUGGAAAGAGAAAGCAUUGGCCACCCCUCCCGUUCAGCAACACCUAAGGCCAGCGGGACAGCCUUUCCCUCUGCAAAUGCCCUUCCUUCUCCUUUUCCUUCAGGGGCCUCUGCAACUCAUCCUGUGGGGCUUCACACAGCAGCUUUCCAUCUGCAGUGCUUCCCCACAACACCACACGACCCACCUGUGAACAGGGCACAUUUCUUUACAUCCCACAUCCGGACCUCAAUCCCAACCCCACAUCCCGGCCCCACAGCCCAAUGCAAAUCCCAAUCCCACACCUCUAAUCCUAUAUGCCAACCCCAACCUCAAACCCAGCACCAACCCCAGCCCCACAGCCCCCAUCCCAAUGCAAACCCCGGUCCCACACCCCUAAUCCUAUAUCCUACAUCCUAGCCUCAAUCCCAACCCAACAUCCCAGCCCAAUAGCCCCCAUCCCAAUGCAAAUCCCAAAUCCCCAACCCUACACCCCAACCCUACACCCCACAGCCCCCAUCCCAAUGCAAACCCCAAACCCACACCCCCAAUCCUAUACCCCACAUCCCAAUCCCACACCCCACAUCCCAAUCCCACACCCCACAUCCCAAUCCCACAUCCCUAAUCCCAUAUCCCAGACCUUAUCCCAACCCCACACCCCCAAUCCUAUACCCCACCUUCCAAUCCCACAACAUAAUCCCCAUCCCAAUCCCACAGCCCUAAUUCCAUACCCCACAUCCGAACCCCAAUCCCACAUCCAUUUCCCAACCACACACCCCACACGGAGGUGGGUUAUGGCCGCACAGGGUUCCUUUCCUGUCCCGGGGCUGCACUCACUCCUCCCCCUCCAAAUCCCACUCCCCCUCCC